rnacentral:rRNA from 1 species
CUGGCGGCGUGCCUAACACAUGCAAGUCGAACGGGACGUAAUUAGAGUAUGUUUCGGACUGAUCUUUUAGUUAGUGGCGGACGGGUGAGUAACGCGUGGACAACCUGCCUUCACAGGGGGAUAGCAGCUGGAAACGGCUGGUAAUACCGCAUACGCUCGUGUCACCGCAUGGUGAUAUGAGGAAAGAUUUAUCGGUGAAAGAUGGAUCCGCGUCUGAUUAGCCAGUUGGCGGGGUAACGGCCCACCAAAGCGACGAUCAGUAGCCGGCCUGAGAGGGCGGACGGCCACAUUGGGACUGAGACACGGCCCAGACUCCUACGGGAGGCAGCAGUGGGGGAUAUUGCAUAAUGGGCGCAAGCCUGAUGCAGCGACGCCGCGUGAGUGAAGAAGUAUUUCGGUAUGUAAAGCUCUAUCAGCAGGGAGGAAAGGCCCGCAAGGGAGAUGACGGUACCUGACUAAGAAGCCCCGGCUAACUACGUGCCAGCCGCUGC